rnacentral:rRNA from 1 species
GACAGAGGAUGCAAGCGUUAUCCGGAAUGAUUGGGCGUAAAGCGUCUGUAGGUGGCUUUUCAAGUCCGCCGUCAAAUCCCAGGGCUCAACCCUGGACAGGCGGUGGAAACUACCAAGCUGGAGUACGGUAGGGGCAGAGGGAAUUUCCGGUGGAGCGGUGAAAUGCAUUGAGAUCGGAAAGAACACCAACGGCGAAGGCACUCUGCUGGGCCGACACUGACGACUGAGAGACGAAAGGCUAGGGGAGACAAUGGAUUAGGAAACCCGUUGAUGAGUCCCAGUACCGAAGUCCUACGACUA